rnacentral:rRNA from 1 species
AGAACGAACGCUGGCGGCAUGCCUAACACAUGCAAGUCGAACGUGAUCCAUGACUUCGGUUGUGGUGAAAGUGGCAAACGGGUGAGUAACGCGUGGGAAUCUGCCCAGAGGUAGGGAAUAACCGCGGGAAACUGCGGCUAAUACCCUAUGUGCCCUACGGGGCAAAGAUUUAUCGCCUUUGGAGGAGCCCGCGUCGGAUUAGGUAGUUGGUAGGGUAACGGCCUACCAAGCCUACGAUCCGUAGCUGGUCUGAGAGGAUGAUCAGCCACACUGGGACUGAGAUACGGCCCAGACUCCUACGGGAGGCAGCAGUGGGGAAUAUUGGACAAUGGGGGCAACCCUGAUCCAGCAAUGCCGCGUGAGUGAUGAAGGCCUUCGGGUUGUAAAGCUCUUUCGGCGGGGAAGAUGAUGACGGUACCCGCAGAGAAGCCCGGCUAACUCGCGCCAGCAGCCGC